AACGAACGCUGGCGGCGUGGAUAAGACAUGCAAGUCGAACGGAUUUUUCGGGGUAGCAAUAUCUCGGAAAGUCAGUGGCGCAAGGGUGCGUAACACGUGGGCAACCUGCCCUGGGGUGUGGGAUAGCCCGCCGAAAGGCGGAUUAAUACCGCAUGUGGCUACUGGAAGCAUUUCCAGGACGCUAAAGUCGGGGAAACCUGACGCUCCGGGAUGGGCCCGCGGCCUAUCAGUUAGUUGGUGGGGAACGGCCUACCAAGACGAUGACGGUAGCUGGUCUGAGAGGACGACCAGCCACACUGGAACUGAGACACGGUCCAGACACCUACGGGUGGCAGCAGUCGAGAAUUUUUCUCAAUGGGGGCAACCCUGAAGGAGCGACGCCGCGUGGAGGAUGAAGGUUUUCGGAUUGUAAACUCCUGUCAUUGGUGAACAAAGCUCCCGGUUAACUGCCGGUAGUUUGCUAGUAGCCGAAGAGGAAGGGACGGCUAACUCUGUGCCAGCAGCCGCAGUAAG
rnacentral:rRNA from 1 species